rnacentral:rRNA from 1 species
GACGAACGCUGGCGGCGUGCCUAAUACAUGCAAGUCGAACGCAGUGGGGACGGGUGAGUAACACGUGGGUAACCUCCCAUCAGAGGGGAUAACACUUGGCAACAGGUGCUAAACCGACACUGAUUGAUGGAGCCGCGGUGCAUUAGCUUGUUGGUGAGGUAACGGCUCACCAAGGCCACGAUGCAUAGCCGACCUGAGAGGAUGGUCGGCCACACUGGUAAUGAGACACGGGCCAGACUCCUACGGGAGGCAGCAGUAGGGAAUCUUCGGCAAUGGGCGAAAGUCUGACCGAGCAACGCCGCGUGUGUGAAGAAGGUUUUCGGAUCGUAAAGCUCUGUUGUUAGAGAAGCGGUAUCUAAAGAGAAAGCCACGGCUAACUACGUGCCAGCAGCCGCGGUAAUAG